GUAGGUGACCUGCGGAGGAUCAUUAGUGAAUAUUAGGGCGUCUACUUCGGUAGGGCCUGACCUCCACUUUCUAACUCUGUGCACUUAUUUGGCGGAAAAGGGAAUUAGUAAUCUGUCUAAUGACGAUUGCGACUUCUUACUUUCUGCGGCUUACUUUAAACACUAGUCAAAGUAUGUAACGAAAUAUCGAAACAAAUAAAAACUUUCAACAACGGAUCUCUUGGCUCUCGCAUCGAUGAAGAACGCAGCGAAAUGUGAUAAGUAAUGUGAAUUGCAGAAUUCAGUGAAUCAUCGAAUCUUUGAACGCACCUUGCGCUCCCUAGUAUUCUGGGGAGCAUGUCUGUUUGAGUGUCAUGAACUCUUCAACCCACUGGUUUCUUGUAGACUAGCUGGUGUUUGGAUUUUGAACGUUGCUGGUCUUCGGACGUAGCUCGUUCGUAAUACAUUAGCAUCUCUAAUUCGAAUUCGGAUUGACUCAGUGUAAUAGACUAUUCGCUGAGGACACUUUUAUUAGUGGCCGAACAAGAUCAUUGUAGAAGCUUCAAACCUCUAUAGUCAAUUUUAGAUUAGACCUCAGAUCAGGCAGGAUUACCCGCUGAACUUAAGCAUAUC
rnacentral:rRNA from 1 species